rnacentral:rRNA from 1 species
GAUGAGCGCUGGCGGCGUGCCUAAUACAUGCAAGUCGAGCGGUAACGGGAGGAGCUUGCUCCUCGCCGACGAGCGGCGGACGGCUGAGUAACGCGUAGGAAUCUGCCCUUAAGCGGGGGAUAACCAAGGGAAACUUUGGCUAAUACCGCAUAAUCUCGAGAGAGCAAAGCUGCCCGCAAGGGUGGCACUUGAGGAGGAGCCUGCGUCCGAUUAGCUAGUUGGUGGGGUAAUGGCCUACCAAGGCGAUGAUCGGUAACUGGUCUGAGAGGACGACCAGUCACACUGGGACUGAGACACGGCCCAGACUCCUACGGGAGGCAGCAGUGGGGAAUAUUGGACAAUGGGGGCAACCCUGAUCCAGCGAUGCCGCGUGAGUGAAGAAGGCCUUCGGGUCGUAAAGCUCUUUAGGUUGGGAAGAAGGGUAUUGGCUGAAUAAUCCAGUACUUUGACGGUACCGACAGAAUAAGCACCGGCAAACUCUGUGCCAGCAGCCGCGGUAA